AUACGGAGGUGGCAAGCGUUGUCCGGAAUUAUUGGGCGUAAAGCGCGCGCAGGCGGUCCUUUAAGUCUGAUGUGAAAGCCCACGGCUCAACCGUGGAGGGUCCUUGGAAACUGGAUGACUUGAGGGCAGAAGAGGAAAGUGGAAAUCCAAGUGUAGCGGUGAAAGGCGUAGAGAUUUGGAGGAACACCAGUGGCGAAGGCGACUUUCUGGUCUGUAACUGACGCUGAGGCGCGAAAGCGUGGGGAGCAAACAGGAUUAGAUCCCCUGGUAGUCCACGCCGUAAACGAUGAGUGCUAAGUGUUAGGGGGUUUCCGCCCCUUAGUGCUGCAGCUAACGCAUUAAGCACUCCGCCUGGGGAGUACGGUCGCAAGACUGAAACUCAAAGGAAUUGACGGGG
rnacentral:rRNA from 1 species